AUGACUUUGAUAAGCAUCCUCUUCUGGACUCUCCUUUGCCUCACUCAGGGGUCUGAUGGACAAAAUGUGGUUGUGACUCAGCCAGCAGCCAAAUCAGUACAGCUUGGUCAGACUGUCACUAUUGACUGUAAAGCUAACAGAGUAGUAGCUUGUAGCACACCCUGCCUGUCCUGGUAUCAACAGAAACCAGGAGAAGCUCCUAAAGCUCUGAUCUAUUGGACAUCUUCCAGAUUAUCAGGAAUCUCCUCCAGAUUCACUGGAAGUGGAGCAGGAAAUAGAAUAGACUUCACUCUGACCAUCAGUGGAGUCCAGGCUGAAGAUGCAGGAGUUUAUUACUGUCAGAGUCUUCACAGUGGCAAUGUGUUCACACAGUGA